AAGUCGUAACAAGGUUUCCGUAGGUGAACCUGCGGAAGGAUCAUUAUUGAAAUCCUCAGGAUGUUGCUGGCCCUUUGCGGGGCAAUGUGCACUCCACCUCUUCAACUCACCUGUGAACUUUUUGUAGGCCAGAUGUAACAGUCUGUGUCUAUGUUAUUUUUACACACACAUAACAAAGUCUAUCAGAAUGUCUGUUAAAGACCUUUAUUGGUCAAAACUUUAAUACAACUUUCAACAAUGGAUCUCUUGGUUCUCGUAUCGAUGAAGAACGCAGCGAAUUGCGAUAUGUAAUGUGAAUUGCAGAAUUCAGUGAAUCAUCGAAUCUUUGAACGCACCUUGCGCCCUUUGGUAUUCCGAAGGGCAUGCCUGUUUGAGUGUCAUUAAAUUCUCAACUUUAAAGAGAGUUUGAAAAACCUCUUUUUGAAGCUUGGACUGUGGAGGGCUUGCCGGCAUUAAUAAUGNCAGCUCCUCUUAAAUGCAUUAGCAGAACCUCUUUCUUUUUAAAAGAAAAGGACUAGCUUCAGUUUGAUAAUCCUAUCUAUGCUGUUGCUGUUGACCUUUGUAUGUGUUCAGCUUCCAAUGGUCUUUUGGACUGUCUCUAUUGAGGCAUACACUUUUAAGCUUGACCUCAAAUCAGGUAGGACUACCCGCUGAACUUAAGCAUAUCAAUAAGCGGAGGAAAAGAAACUAACAAGGAUUCCCCUAGUAACUGCGAGUGAAGAGGGAAAAGCUCAAAUUUAAAAUCUGGCUGUUCUAGUUAGCAGUCCGAGUCGUAGUUUAGAGAAGUGCUAUCCGCGCUGGCCUGUGCAUAAGUUUCUUGGAAAAGAACAUCAUAGAGGGUGACAAUCCCGUCUUUGGCACAGAUCACCAGGGCUUUUGUGAUGCGCUCUCAACGAGUCGUGUUGUUUGGGAAUGCAGCACUAAAUGGGUGGUAAAUUCCAUCUAAAGCUAAAUAUUGGCGAGAGACCGAUAGCGAACAAGUACCGUGAGGGAAAGAUGAAAAGAACUUUGAAAAGAGAGUUAAACAGUACGUGAAAUUGUUGAAAGGGAAACGCUUGAAGUCAGUCGUGUCCUGCAGGGAUCAAGUUGCCCUUUGGGUGAUCGCAUUUCCUGCUGGAUGGGUCAGCAUCAAUUUUGACCGCUGGAUAAAGGCUUAGGGAAUGUGGCAUCUUCGGAUGUGUUAUAGACCUGGGUUGUAUACAGUGGUUGGGAUUGAGGAACUCAGUGUGCCUUCAUGGUCGCACUCAGGAUGCUGGCAUAAUGGCUUUAAUCGACC
rnacentral:rRNA from 1 species